UACGAAGGGGGCUAGCGUUGCUCGGAAUUACUGGGCGUAAAGCGCACGUAGGCGGCUUCUUAAGUCAGGGGUGAAAUCCUGGAGCUCAACUCCAGAACUGCCUUUGAUACUGAAGAUCUUGAGUCCGGGAGAGGUGAGUGGAACUGCGAGUGUAGAGGUGAAAUUCGUAGAUAUUCGCAAGAACACCAGUGGCGAAGGCGGCUCACUGGCCCGGUACUGACGCUGAGGCACGAAAGCGUGGGGAGCAAACAGG
rnacentral:rRNA from 1 species